UCUGCAUUUUGUUAGAAGUUAGUAAACAAUUGUAUAUCUCUUCUACCUGUAAAUGUUCCUUUUUAUCCCAUGGCAUAGAUAAGAAAAUUAAAGAACAAUUACUGUACCUUUUCUAAUUACCAUUAAUAUAUCAAACUAAUUUUGAUUUUAGAGCACUGCAAUUCUGCUGUUAAAUAUUUUUUUUAAUGUAAAUCAAUGUAUCAAGUAAUCAAUGUCAACAAAUAAUCAAAUAGAACCUAUAAAAUUAGUAUGCAACUUAGUAACUUUAUUUAUUCAUCAAUAACUAAAAUAAUGAAAAAAAUAACAAUCGGCUUAUUAAGUUACAAUGUUUUUGUUCUGAAAAAAAAUAACGUUACAACGUUUUUUAUUUGCACUAAUCACCUCCUCAAAACUUUCAGGUUGACCAGUAUAUGGUGAGGAGUUUCUCAAGUUGCAUUGAUUGUGCUGGCUGUAGAUUAUAUAUUGAUUCCGGAGCUGUUGACCAGUAUUCGCUGAGGACUUUUUCCAACUGCAUCAAUUGUGUUGGCUGUAGGUUCUAUACUGCUUCAAAAGUUGUAAGUUAUAAACUUUAUUGUUUUAUAUCUUCAAGUUUACAAUUUUUUAUAUCUCUUUUAAUUGCAAAUUUUUCUUUCUAUUUUGUAGCACAAGUAUAAAAAUUAAGGAUGAAUGUCUAAAAGAUUUUACUUUCCUAAUUAACAUUAUUAAGAUGUAUGCUUCAUAGAUUGAAUAAACUAACACUUAAUUAUUCUAAGAAAACACUACAAACUACAAAUUUACCAAAUAUAUGAAAUAAUAUACCUCCGUGCAACAUGAUUUUUGGGGAAAAAAUUAUAAUUUAGGGGUGAUGGAUAUGCACCUGGAAAAUGUGAUCUAAGUAUCAUUUAUAUCAUUACUUACUGAGAGGUAACCACAACUGCUCUUACCAAAAUAUUUAUGCGAUAUAUGACAAAUGUUACAACUUUCUAUAUUCAUUAUUUAUUUGUGUAUUACUUGAUUUCACCACAUAUUAGCCAUAACUUUCAGCAGCAUGCAAUACAGUAACAAAGAAAGCUAGAUAUCUGGAUGGAUCAUCUUAUAUGUUUCUUAGAUGAAGUUACAAAGACAGGCCGAUAAUUAAUGGAAAGAGCAAGGAUAGUGCCCCAUUACAAAUAGUUUAAAUUUCUUGUAACAAGCUUAUCACUUUGCAACACUAUUAAGUUAUAACCAUUUAAGACGAAGUGGAAAAACCCCCUUAUGCA